GCCGGGGUGGUGAAAUGGUAUACACGUCAGGUUUAGGACCUGAUGGAGGCAACUCCGUGGAGGUUCAAGUCCUCUCCCCGGCACCA
rnacentral:tRNA from 2 species